GGAAAGAUGCUUCUGAUGGGGUCCAUCUUCCAAUGUCUUAACCCUGCACUGACUAUUGCUGCUGCUCUGGCACACCGUGAUCCAUUUGUCCUUCCAAUAAACAGGAAAGAGGAAGCCGAUGCUGCUAAAAGAUCCUUUGCUGGUGAUUCUUGCAGUGAUCAUAUUGCACUUCUUAAAGCAUUUGAAGGAUGGAAAGAUGCUAAACGUUACGGAAAAGAAAGAACCUUCUGCUGGGAAAAUUUCUUAUCUCCUGUAACCUUGCAGAUGAUGGAAGACAUGAGAAAUCAGUUCAUUGACCUACUGUCAGAUAUUGGUUUUGUGGAUAAAUCACGAGGAGCCAAGGCAUACAAUGAAUAUAGCAAUGAUUUAGAGAUGGUAUGCGCCAUCCUUUGUGCAGGCCUCUAUCCAAAUGUCGUGCAGUGUAAAAGAAGAGGAAAGCGUACAGCAUUCUACACGAAGGAAGUUGGAAAAGUAGACAUCCACCCAGCAUCUGUCAACGCUAGUGUCCAUCUUUUCCCUCUUCCCUACUUAGUUUACAGUGAGAAAGUCAAAACCUCAAGCAUUUAUAUCAGAGAUUCAACAAACAUAUCCGAUUAUUCUCUUCUUAUGUUCGGGGGUAAUCUCACUCCAAGCAAAAGUGGAGACGGCAUUGAAAUGCUUGGAGGCUAUCUUCACUUUUCCGCGUCAAAAAGUGUGUUGGAUUUAAUAAAGAAACUCCGCGUGGAACUGGACAAAAUAUUAAAAAGGAAAAUCGAAGAGCCCCACUUUGACGUCUCAGUCGAGGGAAAGGGUGUAGUUGCUGCUGUGGUUGAGUUACUUCAUAGUCAAGAUAUACGGUACUGAUUUAACAAGGCGUUUUAUCGUUCAUUUUUAGCAGAAACAUAUGGUUUGAGGCCCCUUUU
rnacentral:misc_RNA from 1 species